AUACAGGAAGAAACACACCCUCGUGAGGGUACUUGACGGUACUGUAUGAAUAAGGACCGGCUAACUCCGUGCCAGCAGCCCCGGUAAU
rnacentral:rRNA from 1 species